UAAGUCUAAACGACUCUCGGCAACGGAUAUCUCGGCUCUCGCAUCGAUGAAGAACGUAGCGAAAUGCGAUACUUGGUGUGAAUUGCAGAAUCCCGUGAACCAUCGAGUCUUUGAACGCAAGUUGCGCCCGAAGCCUCGGCUGAGGGCACGUCUGCCUGGGU
rnacentral:rRNA from 1 species